rnacentral:rRNA from 1 species
AUUGAACGCUGGCGGCAUGCCUUACACAUGCAAGUCGAACGGCAGCACGGGUGCUCGCACCUGGUGGCGAGUGGCGAACGGGUGAGUAAUACAUCGGAACAUGUCCUGUAGUGGGGGAUAGCCCGGCGAAAGCCGGAUUAAUACCGCAUACGAUCUACGGAUGAAAGCGGGGGACCUUCGGGCCUCGCGCUAUAGGGUUGGCCGAUGGCUGAUUAGCUAGUUGGUGGGGUAAAGGCCUACCAAGGCGACGAUCAGUAGCUGGUCUGGGAGGACGACCAGCCACAAUGGGAAUGAGAAACGGCCCAGACUCCUAAGGGAGGCAGCAGUGGGGAAUUUUGGACAAUGGGCGAAAGCCUGAUCCAGCAAUGCCGCGUGUGUGAAGAAGGCCUUCGGGUUGUAAAGCACUUUUGUCCGGAAAGAAAUCCUUGGCCCUAAUACGGUCGGGGGAUGACGGUACCGGAAGAAUAAGCACCGGCUAACUACGUG